rnacentral:rRNA from 1 species
UACGUAGGGUCCGAGCGUUGUCCGGAAUUACUGGGCGUAAAGCGCGCGCAGGCGGCCCGCGAGGUGUCACGUGAAAGCCCCGGGCUCAACCCGGGAGGGUCGUGGCAAACCGGCGGGCUUGAGGCCGGUAGAGGUGGGUGGAACUCCUGGUGGAGUGGUGAAAUGCGUAGAUAUUGGGAGGAACACCAGUGGCGAAGGCGGCUCACUGGACCGGUUCUGACGCUGAAGCGCGAAAGCGUGGGGAGCAAACGGG